rnacentral:rRNA from 1 species
GGCGAACGCUGGCGGCAGGCCUAACACAUGCAAGUCGAGCGGGCGUCGCAAGACGUCAGCGGCAGACGGGAGAGUAACACGUGGGAACGUACCCUUCGGUUCGGAAUAACCCAGGGAAACUUGGACUAAUACCGGAUACGUCCGUAAGGAGAAAGAUUUAUCGCCGAAGGAUCGGCCCGCGUCCGAUUAGCUAGUUGGUGGGGUAAUGGCCCACCAAGGCGACGAUCGGUAGCUGGUCUGAGAGGAUGAUCAGCCUCACUGGGACUGAGACACGGCCCAGACUCCUACGGGAGGCAGCAGUGGGGAAUAUUGGACAAUGGGCGCAAGCUUGAUCCAGCCAUGCCGCGUGGGUGAUGAAGGCCCUAGGGUUGUAAAGCCCUUUCGGCGGGGAAGAUAAUGACGGUACCCGCAGAAGAAGCCCCGGCUAACUUCGUGCCAGCAGCCGCGGUAA